GAUGAAGAACGCAGCGAAAUGCGAUAAGUAAUGUGAAUUGCAGAAUUCAGUGAAUCAUCGAAUCUUUGAACGCACAUUGCGCCCCUUGGUAUUCCGAGGGGCAUGCCUGUUCGAGCGUCAUUAUAACCCCUCAAGCUCAGCUUGGUGUUGGGGCCUGCUGCACUGGCAGCCCUUAAUAUCAGUGGCGGCGCCAUCUGGCUCUAAGCGUAGUAAUUCUUCUCGCUAUGGAGUCCUGGUGGAUGCUUGCCAUCAACCCCCAAUUUUUCUAUGGUUGACCUCGGAUCAGGUAGGGAUACCCGCUGAACUUAAGCAUAUCAAUAAGCGGAGGA
rnacentral:misc_RNA from 1 species